UACGGAGGGGGCAAGCGUUGUUCGGAAUUACUGGGCGUAAAGGGCGCGUAGGCGGGAUGGCAAGUCGGUCGUGAAAUCCCUCGGCUCAACUGAGGAGCGUCGAUCGAAACUGCCGUUCUUGAGGGUUGCAGAGGAGACUGGAAUUCCCGGUGUAGCGGUGAAAUGUGUAGAGAUCGGGAGGAACACCGGUGGCGAAGGCGGGUCUCUGGGCAACUCCUGACGCUGAGGCGCGAAAGCGUGGGGAGCAAACGGG
rnacentral:rRNA from 1 species